rnacentral:rRNA from 1 species
AUUGAACGCUGGCGGCAGGCUUAACACAUGCAAGUCGAGCGGGGUGAUGGUGCUUGCACUAUCACUUAGCGGCGGACGGGUGAGUAAUGCUUAGGAAUCUGCCUAUUAGUGGGGGACAACAUCUCGAAAGGGAUGCUAAUACCGCAUACGUCCUACGGGAGAAAGCAGGGGAUCACUUGUGACCUUGCGCUAAUAGAUGAGCCUGAGUCGGAUUAGCUAGUUGGUGGGGUAAAGGCCUACCAAGGCGACGAUCUGUAGCGGGUCUGAGAGGAUGAUCCGCCACACUGGGACUGAGACACGGCCCAGACUACUACGGGAGGCAGCAGUGGGGAAUAUUGGACAAUGGGGGGAACCCUGAUCCAGCCAUGCCGCGUGUGUGAAGAAGGCCUUAUGGUUGUAAAGCACUUUAAGCGAGGAGGAGGCUCUUUUGGUUAAUACCCAAGAUGAGUGGACGUUACUCGCAGAAUAAGCACCGGCUAACUCUGUGCCAGCAGCCGCGGUAA